rnacentral:rRNA from 1 species
GACGAACGCUGGCGGCGUGCUUAACACAUGCAAGUCGAACGGUGAAGCGCCUUCCUUUUUGGUGGGUGUGGAUGAGUGGCGAACGGGUGAGUAACACGUGAGUAACCUGCCCCCUUCUUCUGGAUAACCGCAUGAAAGUGUGGCUAAUACGGGAUAUUCUGGGUCUGUCGCAUGAUGGGUCUGGGAAAGAUAUUGUUUCGGUGGGGGAUGGGCUCGCGGCCUAUCAGCUUGUUGGUGGGGUGAUGGCCUACCAAGGCGGUGACGGGUAGCCGGCCUGAGAGGGUGGACGGUCACACUGGGACUGAGACACGGCCCAGACUCCUACGGGAGGCAGCAGUGGGGAAUAUUGCACAAUGGGGGAAAGCCUGAUGCAGCGACGCCGCGUGAGGGAUGGAGGCCUUCGGGUUGUGAACCUCUUUCGCCAGUGAAGCAGGCCUGCCUCGUUUGUGGGUGGGUUGACGGUAGCUGGAUAAGAAGCGCCGGCUAACUACGUG